GACGAACGCUGGCGGCAGGCCUAAUACAUGCAAGCCGAACGGCAAGAUUUUCAGCAAUGGAAAUCCUAGAGUGGCGUAAGGGUGCGUAACACGUAUGCAAUCUGCCCUCAACAGGAGGAUAGCUCCCCGAAAGGGGAAUUAAGACUCCAUAAGAUCUUAGAGUGGCAUCACUUAGAGAUUAAACUACCAGGGGUUGAGGAUGAGCAUGCGCAUGAUAGUUAGUUGGCGGGGUAACGCCCACCAAGACGAUGAUC
rnacentral:rRNA from 1 species